ensembl:lncRNA
GCAGGGGAAGUGGUGUUUGUCCUGCAAGUGUCCACCAGCUCACAGCACAGGAAGCGGAUGUUGUAGUUGUAGCAGAUGGGGGGCAGCUGGUCCUUGUUCCGGCAAAUCAGGCCCACGGAUUUGUUACAGAUCACGUCCUGGCCCAGCUCCUGCAGUGGGGUGUCAGGGAAGCUCUCUGCCCGGCACUGCACAUCCUUGGGCUCUGCACAGAAUUUAUAACCUUUGGCUCUGAGAUUCGAAAUAGUGUCAAAAUCUCCACUGUUUCUCCCUGAGCCAGGGUAGCUGCCGUCUAUCCACUCAGUCCAGUUGCAUAAAACUUGUAAACAGGUGACCGUGGUGGGCUCAGGUGAGGACGGCUCUGAGGACCUUGGAGCUGUGGACAACACAGAAGUUGUGCUUGAAAUUGUUGUUGAAUUGUUGGUGCUGCUUGUGUGCACAGGGGUUGGACUGGUUGAAGGAGCCGAGGUUGUGCUGCUUGUCUGCACAGAGAUUGUACUGGUUGUAGGAGCUGAGGCUGUGCUGCUUGUCUGCACAGGGAUUGUACUGGUUGUAGGAGCUGAGGUUGUGCUGCUUCUCUGCACAGGGGUUGUACUGGUUGUAGGAGCCGAGGUGGUGCUGCUUGUCUGCACAGGGGUUGCACUGGUUGUAGGAGCCGAGGUGGUGCUGCUUGUGUGCACAGAGGUUGCACUGGAUGUGGCCUCAUGGAAGGUGGUCCCUGUGUGCACAGUGACACUCACACUGGAGGUGCUGGUUACUGUGACAGUCGGGGGAGGGCAGUGUUCUUGGGGCUCGCAGCACAGCACUCUGAUCUGGUAGUUGAGGCACAGCCUGGUCUUGCCCUUCUGGUCCUGGUUCCGACACAGCAGGCCCACGUCCUGGUGGCACUGUACCAGCUGGCCCAGCUCGUGGAUGCUGACCCCGGGGUGGUUCUCGGCUCGGCACUCCACUUUGCUGAUGGAUUCAGGUCGGUGGCAGAUGCUGUCUCCAUUCCUCAUGAUGUUGCCGAAGGUUUCAUUGUCUCCCCCGUGGGGCCCGGGCACUGGGAAGUCCACGUCGAGCCAUUUGGUCCACCUGCACUUUGGCUUGCAGGGGGUGGUCCCUGGAGAGGACUGCUCGUGCGUGCUGGGCGUGCCCCAUCUUGAUGGGGUCACGUGAGGUGAGCUAGCAGUGCU